ACGCACGCUGGCGGCGUGCUUAACACAUGCAAGUCGAACGGUGAAGCGCCUUCCUUUUUGGUGGGUGUGGAUGAGUGGCGAACGGGUGAGUAACACGUGAGUAACCUGCCCCCUUCUUCUGGAUAACCGCAUGAAAGUGUGGCUAAUACGGGAUAUUCUGGGUCUGUCGCAUGAUGGGUCUGGGAAAGAUAUUGUUUCGGUGGGGGAUGGGCUCGCGGCCUAUCAGCUUGUUGGUGGGGUGAUGGCCUACCAAGGCGGUGACGGGUAGCCGGCCUGAGAGGGUGGACGGUCACACUGGGACUGAGACACGGCCCAGACUCCUACGGGAGGCAGCAGUGGGGAAUAUUGCACAAUGGGCGCAAGCCUGAUGCAGCGACGCCGCGUGAGGGAUGGAGGCCUUCGGGUUGUGAACCUCUUUCGCCAGUGAAGCAGGCCUGCCUCGUUUGUGGGUGGGUUGACGGUAGCUGGAGAAGAAGCGCCGGCUAACUACGUG
rnacentral:rRNA from 1 species